AACCAAAGGAGGACCUAUGAGUGGUGCCCCCAAAGGCUGGUGAAAUGAAAGUAUUAUGGGACUCUUCACUCUGAAAAGUUUUCUCAGCUGCUCUGUUACCACUCAACCAAGGACGUCUGAAGGACUGGUGGCCUUAUGAGAAGAAGAAAAGAGAACGAUCCUUCUCUUUCUACACAUGCAUGCCCCAGGAGAGGCCAUUGUGAGGACACAGUGAGAAAACAGGAAGAGAG